AGAGUUUGAUCAUGGCUCAGGAUGAACGCUAGCUACAGGCUUAACACAUGCAAGUCGAGGGGAAACGACAUCGAAAGCUUGCUUUUGAUGGGCGUCGACCGGCGCACGGGUGAGUAACGCGUAUCCAACCUGCCCACCACUUGGUGAUAACCUUGCGAAAGUAANACUAAUACCCAAUGAUAUCUCUAGAAGACAUCUGAAAGAGAUUAAAGAUUUAUCGGUGAUGGAUGGGGAUGCGUCUGAUUAGCUUGUUGGCGGGGUAACGGCCCACCAAGGCGACGAUCAGUAGGGGUUCUGAGAGGAAGGUCCCCCACAUUGGAACUGAGACACGGUCCAAACUCCUACGGGAGGCAGCA
rnacentral:rRNA from 1 species